rnacentral:rRNA from 1 species
AGAGUUUGAUCAUGGCUCAGAUUGAACGCUGGCGGCAGGCCUAACACAUGCAAGUCGAACGGUAACAGGAAGAAGCUUGCUUCUUUGCUGACGAGUGGCGGACGGGUGAGUAAUGUCUGGGAAACUGCCUGAUGGAGGGGGAUAACUACUGGAAACGGUAGCUAAUACCGCAUAACGUCGCAAGACCAAAGAGGGGGACCUUCAGGCCUCUUGCCAUCGGAUGUGCCCAGAUGGGAUUAGCUAGUAGGUGGGGUAAUGGCUCACCUAGGCGACGAUCCCUAGCUGGUCUGAGAGGAUGACCAGCCACACUGGAACUGAGACACGGUCCAGACUCCUACGGGAGGCAGCAGUGGGGAAUAUUGCACAAUGGGCGCAAGCCUGAUGCAGCCAUGCCGCGUGUAUGAAGAAGGCCUUCGGGUUGUAAAGUACUUUCAGCGGGGAGGAAGGGAGUAAAGUUAAUACCUUUGCUCAUUGACGUUACCCGCAGAAGAAGCACCGGCUAACUCCGUGCCAGCAGCCGCGGUAAUACGGAGGGUGCAAGCGUUAAUCGGAAUUACUGGGCGUAAAGCGCACGCAGGCGGUUUGUUAAGUCAGAUGUGAAAUCCCCGGGCUCAACCUGGGAACUGCAUCUGAUACUGGCAAGCUUGAGUCUCGUAGAGGGGGGUAGAAUUCCAGGUGUAGCGGUGAAAUGCGUAGAGAUCUGGAGGAAUACCGGUGGCGAAGGCGGCCCCCUGGACGAAGACUGACGCUCAGGUGCGAAAGCGUGGGAGCAAACAGGAUUAGAUACCCUGGUAGUCCACGCCGUAAACGAUGUCGACUUGGAGGUUGUGCCCUUGAGGCGUGGCUUCCGGAGCUAACGCGUUAAGUCGACCGCCUGGGGAGUACGGCCGCAAGGUUAAAACUCAAAUGAAUUGACGGGGGCCCGCACAAGCGGUGGAGCAUGUGGUUAAUUCGAUGCAACGCGAGACCUUACCUGGUCUUGACAUCCACGGAAGUUUUCAGAGAUGAGAAUGUGCCUUCGGGAACCGUGAGACAGGUGCUGCAUGGCUGUCGUCAGCUCGUGUUGUGAAAUGUUGGGUUAAGUCCCGCAACGAGCGCAACCCUUAUCCUUU